rnacentral:rRNA from 1 species
UCACAUGCAAGUCGAACGAAGGCUUCGGCCUUAGUGGCGCACGGGUGCGUAACGCGUGGGAAUCUGCCCCUUGGUUCGGAAUAACAGUUAGAAAUGACUGCUAAUACCGGAUGAUGACUUCGGUCCAAAGAUUUAUCGCCGAGGGAUGAGCCCGCGUAGGAUUAGGUAGUUGGUGGGGUAAAGGCCUACCAAGCCGACGAUCCUUAGCUGGUCUGAGAGGAUGAUCAGCCACACUGGGACUGAGACACGGCCCAGACUCCUACGGGAGGCAGCAGUGGGGAAUAUUGGACAAUGGGGGAAACCCUGAUCCAGCAAUGCCGCGUGAGUGAUGAAGGCCUUAGGGUUGUAAAGCUCUUUUACCCGGGAUGAUAAUGACAGUACCGGGAGAAUAAGCCCCGGCUAACUCCGUGCCAGCAGCCGCGGUAAUACGGAGGGGGCUAGCGUUGUUCGGAAUUACUGGGCGUAAAGCGCACGUAGGCGGCUAUUCAAGUCAGAGGUG